ACGUAGGGGGCAAGCGUUGUCCGGAAUGAUUGGGCGUAAAGGGCGCGUAGGCGGCAUGGUAAGUCUGGAGUGAAAGUCCUGCUCUUAAUGUCGGCAUUGCUUUGGAUACUGUCGGGCUUGAGUGCAGGAGAGGUAAUUGGAAUUCCCGGUGAAGCGGUGAAAUGCGUAGAGAUCGGGAGGAGCACCAGUGGCGAAGGCGACUUACUGGACUGUAACUGACGCUGAGGCGCGAAAGCGUGGGGAGCUAACAG
rnacentral:rRNA from 1 species